UGGAAGGGGGGGCGUGCUAUACAUGCAAGUCGAACGAACUCUGGUAUUGAUUGGUGCUUGCAUCAUGAUUUACAUUUGAGUGAGUGGCGAACUGGUGAGUAACACGUGGGAAACCUGCCCAGAAGCGGGGGAUAACACCUGGAAACAGAUGCUAAUACCGCAUAACAACUUGGACCGCAUGGUCCGAGUUUGAAAGAUGGCUUCGGCUAUCACUUUUGGAUGGUCCCGCGGCGUAUUAGCUAGAUGGUGGGGUAACGGCUCACCAUGGCAAUGAUACGUAGCCGACCUGAGAGGGUAAUCGGCCACAUUGGGACUGAGACACGGCCCAAACUCCUACGGGAGGCAGCAGUAGGGAAUCUUCCACAAUGGACGAAAGUCUGAUGGAGCAACGCCGCGUGAGUGAAGAAGGGUUUCGGCUCGUAAAACUCUGUUGUUAAAGAAGAACAUAUCUGAGAGUAACUGUUCAGGUAUUGACGGUAUUUAACCAGAAAGCCACGGCUAACUACGUGCCAGCAGCCGCGGUAAUACGUAGGUGGCAAGCGUUGUCCGGAUUUAUUGGGCGUAAAGCGAGCGCAGGCGGUUUUUUAAGUCUGAUGUGAAAGCCUUCGGCUCAACCGAAGAAGUGCAUCGGAAACUGGGAAACUUGAGUGCAGAAGAGGACAGUGGAACUCCAUGUGUAGCGGUGAAAUGCGUAGAUAUAUGGAAGAACACCAGUGGCGAAGGCGGCUGUCUGGUCUGUAACUGACGCUGAGGCUCGAAAGUAUGGGUAGCAAACAGGAUUAGAUACCCUGGUAGUCCAUACCGUAAACGAUGAAUGCUAAGUGUUGGAGGGUUUCCGCCCUUCAGUGCUGCAGCUAACGCAUUAAGCAUUCCGCCUGGGGAGUACGGCCGCAAGGCUGAAACUCAAAGGAAUUGACGGGGGCCCGCACAAGCGGUGGAGCAUGUGGUUUAAUUCGAAGCUACGCGAAGAACCUUACCAGGUCUUGACAUACUAUGCAAAUCUAAGAGAUUAGACGUUCCCUUCGGGGACAUGGAUACAGGUGGUGCAUGGUUGUCGUCAGCUCGUGUCGUGAGAUGUUGGGUUAAGUCCCGCAACGAGCGCAACCCUUAUUAUCAGUUGCCAGCAUUAAGUUGGGCACUCUGGUGAGACUGCCGGUGACAAACCGGAGGAAGGUGGGGAUGACGUCAAAUCAUCAUGCCCCUUAUGACCUGGGCUACACACGUGCUACAAUGGAUGGUACAACGAGUUGCGAACUCGCGAGAGUAAGCUAAUCUCUUAAAGCCAUUCUCAGUUCGGAUUGUAGGCUGCAACUCGCCUACAUGAAGUCGGAAUCGCUAGUAAUCGCGGAUCAGCAUGCCGCGGUGAAUACGUUCCCGGGCCUUGUACACACCGCCCGUCACACGCAUGAGAGUUUGUAACACCCAAAGUCGGUGGGGUAACCUUUUAGGAACCAGCCGCCUAAAGGGGGACCCAGU
rnacentral:rRNA from 1 species